AACCAUUCUCACCUGCGGCUAGACCUGCGGAGGGAUCAUUACAAGUGACCCCGGUUUACCACCGGGAUGUUCAUAACCCUUUGUUGUCCGACUCUGUUGCCUCCGGGGCGACCCUGCCUUCGGGCGGGGGCUCCGGGUGGACACUUCAAACUCUUGCGUAACUUUGCAGUCUGAGUAAACUUAAUUAAUAAAUUAAAACUUUUAACAACGGAUCU
rnacentral:misc_RNA from 1 species